AGGGAAAGAGCUUGCUCUUUUCAGAAUUGAGUGGCAAACGGGUGAGUAACACGUAAACAACCUGCCUUUCAGAGGGGGACAACAGUUGGAAACGACUGCUAAUACCGCAUGAAGCGUAUUGAUCGCAUGGUCGAUACGCCAAAGAUUUAUCGCUGAAAGAUGGCCUCGCGUCUGAUUAGCUAGUUGGUGAGGUAACGGCCCACCAAGGCGACGGUCAGUAGCCGGCCUGAGAGGGUGAACGGCCACAUUGGGACUGAGACACGGCCCAAACUCC
rnacentral:rRNA from 1 species